UUAAUUCUAUCCUCCCCAGAUUCACCACGACACAUUAAUUUAGUGGAGAUCAUUAAGAAAAGAGAUGGAGGGGUCACUCUGAACUGUACAGUACCAGCAAAUCCACCUGCUACUUACUCCUGGUACUCAGAGCAUUUGACAGGACCAAUAAAUUCAGCAGUGCUCUCAUCCUCUACACUGACUCCAGGAAACUACACAUGCACUGCUACAAACAAUCAAGGAAACUCCAACAAAGUGUUUAUCAUUAAUUUUGCAGAUUCACCAAGCAGUAAAGCAGUGGACAUCAUCAAUUUUGCAGGAAGUCACCCAACAUUCAUUGGUUAUCUUAUUUUCCUACCACUGCUGAUUGCUGUAGGGAUUAUCGUGUGAGGAAGAUACAAAUGAAUGGUCCUGAAAGUUUUAUUCCUCUUCUUUUCAAAUUCAUGUAUGAAAAUGAUUUAUAAUAAUGUAUUCAGUAAAUCGCUAGUUUGAUAUGCAUGCUUUUGGUGUCAGCUGAGGCACAAAGUGAUUUAUUUUUAUUAUAGAGAUUCACUUUCUUGCUUUAAGAUCAGUAACUGCUUUGCAUUGAAAUCUUGUGAACCUUUUAGCAAUUAUUCAUGACCUACGCCAAUUUUGGUGGCUUCCACUUUCAUCCCUGUUUGGACCUGAAUGGGGCCAGAUUAAGUGCACACAUUGAAAAAAGAUAGCUAUGUAUUAAUUCAUCUACGUUGGGGUAAGAACAUAGCAAAAUAUUGAAAAACGGUGGUGUUUUCCUUUAACUAUGUUGUUGAGCCAAUGUGAUUCAAACAACCGAUGUGCAACAGAGUUACUAUAAUUUGGAGAAAAAGUCGAGGCUAGUUUAUUUUUCCAACAAUACGUCAUACUAGUUAAGCAGAGAAGCAUUCCUGAAUGGGUUUAAAGGCUCAAAAUGUAAUUUUCCCAGCAAGAUGUUGCUAAACAACAACAUCACCAUCAGUGUUGGGGGUAACGCAUUACAAGUAACGUGCAUUACGUAAUAAUGUUACUUUUCUAAAGUAACGAGUAAAGUAAUGCAUUAUUUAAAAAUUUACACAUUAAUAUUUGAGUUACUUUUUUAAAAAAGUAGUGCAAGUUACUUUUCAGUUUAAUUUAUUCGAUUUAAAUAUAUAUAUAAUGCACUGAAUUAAGCUGAACAUAGUCACGUAGACUUACGCACACUAUGCGUGCGCGCCCGAGCUUGAACAGUUUGAGUCAGAAACAGAGAUGGCAGGCCAGAGCUUGACAUUUUUGCGAUGGAAAUAUGCAAUUUCUGAAUGCAAAACCUCUCAGUCAUAAGAAGCAUAUGCCUGCAAUGCCGGAAAGAGAUAAAUCCUCAACCAAGUAAGAAAAAGUAACGCAAAAGUAACUUAAAAGUAACGCAAGUAUUACUUUCCAUGACAUGUAACUAAGUUACGCAAUUACUUACUUUUUUGGGAAGUAACUUAAUAUUGUAAUGCAUUACUUCCCCAACACUGAAGCUUGAUUAUGCUGUGAAGGCGUGGAAUGAUGGAAGUUGUAAGCCCUGGGUAAAGUUUGUUUUUUAAGUUUCCGUGAGCGUCAUAGAGCGUGCACAGCCUUGCAAAGCGUAGUUUAUGCGCAUUGCGAUAAAUAGCAAUACCUCUAUCUUGUAUGACCAUGCAAAAAUUCCCAAACAUUGUGUUAAGCAGGACUCACAAAUAAUGUACAUUGAUGACAUAAUGAAAAAAGUUUUAAAAAUGUUUAUAUUAUAUUGUAACCCCACAAUGUGGUUUGAAAGAAGCAACAACAGAGGAACGUGCUAGAUGCUUCAAGUACUACUUCUACAUCUGGUACGACAUAACUCGCUACUGAACCACCAUAGUACGAUGCUGAAGAAAAUAUUUUGAUAAAUUCCAUCAUAUUUUUUUGUUCCUACUAUGGAAGUCAACGGUCACUAUCUGCUGUGUGUUUAACAUCAUUUCUCAAAAUAUCUUAUUUUGUGUUCUUAAGUGAAUUAACCUUUUAAACUCCUGGGGAUAUUACCUUCAUUUAAUUUAAACUUCUUAAAUUUUCAUACAAAUAGCUAUGGUACAAGGUCUCUAUCAAAUGUCCCAAAGGUAUACAAAGGGAUUUGGUAAUGCUUUUAUCUUUUGUGCUCCAAGGGCCUGGAAUAAUUUGCAAAAUGUAUUUAAGUGGGAAGUUUUAACACCUCUGAGUAAUAGAUUGUCUUUUAAAACUUUGAUAAAGGAGUCUUGUAUUUUGUAAUUUUCUCUUACUUGAUUUUGUUCUGAUUGUUUGGUAUAAGUAUUGUUUGAAUUGUGAUUACAUUUGUGUGUGACUUUCUUUUGACCAGAUCUCCAUUAAGAAAGUGAUAUCGCAAUAGGAUUAGUAUGGUUGAAUAAAGGUUAAAUAAAUUAAAUAGCAUAAGAUAUCUGCUUCAGGGAAUCUGAAAAAAAAAGUGUGGUUAUGUUGUAUUUUUUUGCCUGUAUUAAAUAGAAAAUAUAA